GACGAACGCUGGCGGCGUGCUUAACACAUGCAAGUCGAGCGGAAAGGCCCACUUGUGGGUACUCGAGCGGCGAACGGGUGAGUAUCACGUGAGUAAUCUGCCCUUCACUUCGGGAUAGCCUUGGGAAACUGAGAUUAAUACCGGAUAUGAUUUCUGCCUGCAUGGGUGGGGGUUGAAAGUUUUUUCGGUGGAGGAUGUGCUCGCGGCCUAUCAGCUUGAUGGUGGGGUAAUGGCCUACCAUGGCUUUGACGGGUAGCCGGCCUGAGAGGGUGUUCGGCCACACUGGGACUGAGACACGGCCCAGACUCCUACGGGAGGCAGCAGUGGGGAAUAUUGGACAAUGGGCGGAAGCCUGAUCCAGCAACGCCGCGUGAGGGAUGACGGCCUUAUGGGUUGUAAACUUCUUUACUAUGCGACUAACUAGAUUUACGAGAUAAUUCUAUAGAAUGUAGCAUAGCAAAAAGCACCGGCUAACUCCGUG
rnacentral:rRNA from 1 species